CAUGGGUCUACUCUAUGUGGAUAGGGAGUUUUAAAAUUGGAGUAAACAAACACAAACACUAUGACACAACAAGUGAAUAGUGUGAAUUAUUUUUGUUAUACGCAAAAUGCGCACUAGUAUACAGAUACAGCUAAAUGCUAACUCGGGUGUAGGCUAGUCGGCUAACCUAGCUGGUUUGCUAACGAACAAAGGUUGCUAACGCGCUAGCCGCUCCACAACAACAGCAGCUAAAGUCAACUAGCUCGCUACCGGCUAAAGUUAACUUGUAUGUAAGUGACACAACAUAAUUCUGAGACCAUUUAUUGUAUUUUUACAUUAGCCCUGUACGCAGUCAUUCCCAUUCCACUACCUAAUGCCACCCUACAGACUCGGCAGAUAGGACAUAAAGGGUCGCAGCUUCACCGCUAGCUUUCAGCGGAGCUAACCUGGCCAUAUUUCAAUUCCAGCGUCUCGCAGCCUGCGUCUCAAAUGGUCGUUCUCCCGCUCCCUGAUCGCUAUCUCCUCCUGGAACUCCAAAAUCGUGUCCUCGACAGAUUUGUAGAUCUCCUGCGCAGCAAGCAUGAGACGCUCAGUCAAAAAGACGUUUAAAAACUGCAGUUUGGUCAUUUUCUUGAGUUG